ACUAACCAGGAUUUCCCUAGUAACGGCGAGCGAACCGGAAAGAGCCCAGCUUGAAAAUCGUGGUGCCUCGCAYCUCGAAUUGUAGUCUGGAGAAGGUCCCUCUGCGACGCGCCGGACCCAAGUUCCCUGGAAAGGGACGUCAUCGAGKGUGACAACCCCGUCCGGCCCGGAACGCGUCGCUCCACGAGGACCUGUCUGCGAGUCGGGCUGUUUGGGAAUGCAGCCCUAAGCGGGAGGUAAAUUCCUUCCAAGGCUAAAUAUGGGCAAGAGACCGAUAGCGAACAAGUACCGCGAGGGAAAGAUGAAAAGGACUUUGAAAAGAGAGUUAAAAAGUGCUUGAAAUUGCUGGGAGGGAAGCGAAUGGAAGCUGCGGGUGCGCCCCGGUUGGAUGUGGAACGGCUUCGGCUGGUCCGCCGCUCAACGCGGGGCGCUGGUCAGCGUGGGCCACGGCGCCGGGACAAGAGCGGGGAUUCGCUUYCCGCCUAUGCCGGUGCGGUGGCCGAGGCACGAAGCGCGCGCCGCAAGGCGUGGGUUCGCCCAACUGCGCGCUCGGGACGCUGGCGUAUUGAGCUCUUCAUCCGACCCGUCUUGAAACACGGACCAAGGAGUCUAACAUGUAUGCGAGCCGGUGGGCGGCAAACCCAUUGAGGCGCAAGUAAACUGACAGGUGGGACCCCGACCGYGAGGGAGGGAGCACCAUCGACCGACCGUGAUCUUCUGUGAAAGGUUUGAGUGUGAGCAUACCUGUUGGGACCCGAAAGAUGGUGAACUAUGCCUGAGCAGGGCGAAGCCAGAGGAAACUCUGGUGGAGGCUCGUAGCGAUACUGACGUGCAAAUCGUUCGUCAGACUUGGGUAUAGGGGCGAAAGACUAAUCGAACCAUCUAGUAGCUGGUUCCCUCCGAAGUUUCCCUCAGGAUAGCUGGAGCUCGUGUACAAGUUUUAUCAGGUAAAGCGAAUGAUUAGAGGCAUCGGGGGUGUAACACCCUCGACCUAUUCUCAAACUUUAAAUAGGUAAGCCGCCGGGGUUGCUUGGUUGAACCCCGGCACAGAAUGAGA
rnacentral:rRNA from 1 species